UCGGGAAUUUUGGGCAAUGGGCGAAAGCCUGGCCCAGCAACGCCGCGUGAAGGAUGAAAUCCCUCGGGAUGUAAACUUCGCAAGAACGGGAAGAAUAAGUAGGGAACAAUACCCCCUAUGAUGACGGUACCGUUUGUAAGCUCCGGCUAACUCCGUGCCAGCAGCCGCGGUAAUACGGGGGGAGCAAGCGUUGUUCGGAUUUACUGGGCGUAAAGGGCGCGUAGGCGGCCUCCGCAGGUCAAUUGUGAAAUCUCCGGGCUUAACUCGGAAAGGUCAACUGAUACUGCGGGGCUAGAGUGCGGAAGGGGCAACUGGAAUUCUUGGUGUAGCGGUGAAAUGCGUAGAUAUCAAGAGGAACACCUGCGGCGAAGGCGGGUUGCUGGGCCGACACUGACGCUGAGGCGCGAAAGCUAGGGGAGCGAACGGGAUUAGAUACCCCGGUAGUCCUAGCCUUAAACGAUGAACGCUUGGUGUCUGGGGUUAUAUAGUCCCCGGGUGCCGUCGCUAACGCUUUAAGCAUUCCGCCUGGGGAGUACGGUCGCAAGACUGA
rnacentral:rRNA from 1 species